GGAAGCUCAAACAGGUUUGAUUUAUGCAUUCAUGCUCCUACAGGUGUGUUUAUAAUGUUGUAAAACUAUCUCUUUCAAUUUGAAGACUUAAAGGCAACGAGGAUGAAAUGAUGUCCACAAUGGACUUGAAACAAAAUUAUGUGAGAAACAGAGAGUCGCUGGUCAAAGUGGGUGUUUGUAAGUCUCAAAAAUAGCAACAACAAGGAAACAAUCACAAUCUGAAAGCUAUCAUUUCAACUAUGUUUCCUGGCUUCAUAGGCGGCAAAGUCUAAAGGCUGAACAUCCAAACAUGAGUGAGCUGAGGAUUGUCUUGCUGGGGAAAGAUGCACUGGCAAACAACAGAGUUAGAAACAGGAUCCUGGGAAUAUACAAGAGUGAAGCACCUUCAGCAGAUGUAGAGCAGCGCACAGAGAGAGUUAGAGGACAACCGGUGGACAGACCCAUCACCAUCAUCAAUGAUCCUAAUCUUCUACAGCCAGACCUCUACCACAAUCAGAUUGCUAAGAGAGUGAAAGAGUGUGUGUAUCUUUCUGAUCCAGGACCUCAUGCGAUCAUACUCGUACUACAGCAUAAUGACUUUAGUGAGCAUGACAUGCGAAGAGUAAAUUAUGUACUGAAACAGUUCAGUGACAAGGCAAUUAAACACGCAAUAGUGUUAACUACUGAUAAAGAGACACUGACCUCCUCGCUGGCUUCUGUGCUAAAGAAUAAUGCUAUGCUUCAGUUAAU